rfam:Triticum aestivum genome assembly, contig: Triticum_aestivum_CS42_TGACv1_scaffold_030682_1BL
UGAGUACUCCCUCCGUCCGAAAAAUUUUGUCAUCAAAAUAAAUAAAAAUAUAUGUGUCUAGAACUAAUAUACAUCUAGAUACAUCCCUUUUUAUUCAUUUUGAUAACAAGUAUUUCCGGGCGGAGGUAGUACUAU